GAGAGAGACUGGUCUGUGGACUGACUCACAGAGAGAGAUGUUGGAGAAGAAAGAAUCCACGGAGUACAAGGGAGCUGAGAAUCCAAUGAUGCUGAUACCUUUUUGUGCAGGCUGGCCGGCAGACAAGCCUGCUGAUAACACAUUUCAUAUUAAAUUCUAAAUUCUAAAUACCCCAAAGGUGUGACAGGACUUCCUCGGCAAAUGCUGGAUUAGAAUUUACUGAUGCUUGGCAACGAGUAGAUCAGAAAAAGCAAAA